rnacentral:lncRNA from 1 species
UACUGGGAGGACAACCCUGAAGUCAUUUGAAGUGUCAAGUAAGUGAGUCGUAGAUUUUGCUACGUCAUACCUGGUGAACAUUUGAUAAGUUGAACCUUCGGUCAAGAUAAUAUUUAGAGUUUUAUUCGCUCAGUCAUUUUCUAUUACUCUCUUUUUCAUAAACCAUUGACAUGAGCCAUUCGAAAUUUUUAUUUGAUUUUUCCUGAAAGACUAGAACCAAAUAUCCCCAUCCUAUCAGACUUUUCAUCUUGACCACGAUAUUUAGCUUGACUUGUUUUCAUGAUUAACACACGAGUAGAGCCCGCGCUGUUCUUACUUUGUAAAUUUUCGACGCAUGCUAGGACUCGCGUGACCAUAGGAUUUUGGUUUACUUAAACUUGAAAAACUCAUUGGUUUUCCUAGAAUUAGAAUUUUUCUGAGUCACAUUUAUUUAUUUUAUUCAAAACUCCUCUCUCACUUUUGGCCAAAAUUAGAACCUAAACCCAUUACCCCCACGGUUGAAAUCGAAAUUGUUUCAUCUCAAUUCAUGAGAAUAAACGAUACCAGUGCAACCAAAAUUAAUGUAGUCGGAAAUCCUUUCGACUUACAAAUAUUUUUGAUGCUUCAAAACUCC